GCUGGUCCUCAAGGCGGAGCCGCCGUGCAGGGGUGCACGUGGCUGUCACGCCGCUUCGUUCUUUCCGUCGAGUUCUCCGGUGAGCAGCGACUCUGGCCCACUCUCGACGUCCCUUCGACGGCGUCAAUGCCAUCGCUCUUUCACGCUGCUGCUCCGGCAGCGCCUCCUCCGUAGUCGACUUUCCGGAGCUCCGUCGUUGCCGAACAGCCCUUCGGCCUAAGCUAAGUUCUAAUUCUUUUAUUCCAAUCUAUUUCUCCUUAUUUACUCGUUCGAUUCCGAGCUUAUUUGGUGAUGUUUUGAUGGCUGGAAAGGGAAAAUCUUAUUUGUGUUCGUUGCUGGGGCAUUUGCAUUUGAUAAACAUAUGUUCUUGUCCUAGAUUUCUUUCAUCUUUUGGCAUAUUAAUAGCGAAAAGGCUUAGGCAGCAGCUUGUGAGAUUUUAAGUUCUUGAAAUUGUUUGUCCCGGUGGAGUCCCGCAUAAUAGCUACUGAUUUUGGCCUUAUGAGGCAGACUAUGGUUUUCCUUACACUACUUGUUAUGAUUCUGGAUUUAGUGUAGUUAACACUUGUGCUACUAAGUUCUUGAACUAUGUUGUGAUUGUUCUAAACAUGAUGCAAGAUAAGGUGUUGGGGUGUUGAGGUGUUUACCUUAGUUUGGUGAUUUCCUUUUUGCUUGUUGGCUGCCCUCCUUGCUGUUGUUGGAAGGAGAUUCCUAAACCUUAAGCUCACAAUAGCCUUUCUUGCUCCUUCUCACUCUCAACUUACCACUCUAAUGCUAGAGAAAUUCGAAAUAUGAGGAAAGAGUAGUGUUGUGGUAUGUGGUGUGGCUUAUAUAGGCAGAGAUGUGUACUCGUGUAGCCUUAAUUGGGGCUGUUGUAAUUCUUGUUGUUAUGCUGCAGAAAAUCCCACUUUAAUGAUCCCAUUGCCCCUCCUUCUUGGCUGCAAUUUGGCAUCAUAUGGGUACCUAGUACUUAGCUAGCAAUUUGAAUCGUUUGAUUGUGCAGUGAGCAGGUGGCUGUUGUGCCAAGGGUGUUGCAGGGCUGACUUUCCUCUUAUGGUGAUUCUUUGGGUCAUCUAUAACUAAAGAAGGUUGUCUCCAUCCCUAAGGUCGAGACAAGCUUGGUUGCCAAGCUGCUGGCUGUCUGGAACAGUUGAUACCUCGGCCCACGGCUGACCGGAAAACGGGCCGCGACUAUCGGCCCGGGAGGAGAGACCGAUUCUAUUCGAUUAAUGCACAUUUUAUCCUUUCCUUUUCUUGUCUCCUUUAUUUGAGGACUUGCUCCAUGUAACAUAUAUAUAUAUAUAUAUAUAUAUUUUUGUUGUUCA